rnacentral:rRNA from 1 species
CCUACGGGUGGCAGCAGUAGGGAAUUUUUCACAAUGGGCGAAAGUCUGAUGGAGCAACGCCGCGUGCAGGAUGAAGGCCUUCGGGUUGUAAACUGCUUUUAUAAGGGAGAAAUAUGAUGGUAACUUAUGAAUAAGGAUCGGCUAACUACGUGCCAGCAGCCGCGGUAAUACGGAGGAUCCAAGCGUUAUCCGGAUUUAUUGGGUUUAAUGGGUGCGUAGGCGGAUUGAUAAGUUAGAGGUGAAAUGUCCGAGCUUAACUCGGGAACUGCCUCUGAUACUGUUGGUCUAGAGAGUAGAUGCGGUAGGCGGAAUGUAUGGUGUAGCGGUGAAAUGCUUAGAGAUCAUACAGAACACCGAUUGCGAAGGCAGCUUACCAAUCUAUAUCUGACGUUGAGGCACGAAAGCGUGGGGAGCAAACAGGAUUAGAUACCCGGGUAGUC